rnacentral:siRNA from 1 species
CCACAAGUGGUGGACGAAACAGAC